rnacentral:rRNA from 1 species
UUGAAAAGAAACUUGGAGAGAGAGUCAAAGAGACCGCGAAACCGUUGGGAGGGAAACGAAUGUGGCCAGCACGAUUCCUUUCGGGUUCAUGGCGUCUCGGUUCGGGCGUUGUACCGCGAGAGAACCCACUCCGGGUCUCCCCGUUGCAAGCUCGUCGAGGUUCUCGCAUUCCCGUCAGGGGUCCGCCAACGGCGGUCGCGUGCGGUCCAGCAGGGUAGCGGGGUAGGUGCCUUCCUCCUCUCGUAGGUGGGGAGAGCUUACAGCCCGCUGUUCGGCGAUCGCAGGUGACCGAGGAGCGUGGCGACCAGUUCGCACGGGUGAGCGCAGGCCGUUCGGGGCCGGGUCGCUCGCGGGCCUGCGUGCUUCGAGGCGUGUCACUGCGAGCAGUGACCGUCGACGUUUUUAAAGCGCGCUCGCCUGGGAGACCGACCACGAUGUGCGCUGUGGUCGUUGGUGUACGCUUGGCUCCAUCCGACCCGUCUUGAAACACGGA